ACAUUAAAAAAGUCCAUGUCUUUCCAUAAACUUAAAUAGCUUACUAUAAGAAGGCAGGUAUGGCGUCCAAAAUGUCUGGAAGAGAGAAUUCAGGGAUUAAAACAAAGCAAAGUUUUUAAAACACAAGUUGAAGGCUAAGUUGAAGUCUGUUUUCUGCAGGCAUAUAUACAAGAAGUGACUUCUCAGAGCCCUUGAAAGGCACUUCCUCGAAGUGAAGGUUGAACAUGAAAGCAGGAGCUUAAUGAGCUGGAUGAGGGAAAUGGGUGAAUGCACGGUGUGCAUGGACAGCACAGGCACAAUGCACAGAGGUCAAGUUGAGGCAGCCACUCAUUAUGAGUGAGUGCCUCCCUGAGCAUGUAUGGAGUGAUGGGAAUGAGUCACAAACCGCUUGAACCGCAGAUGGGGUGAGUGCAGUGCAUUGGCUGAUGUUCAAUGUCCUUAACCCAUCCUCAUCAUUUCCUCCUUUCACAGAUAUCC
rnacentral:lncRNA from 1 species